GUCAUGGCCUUUCCAAAAAGUUCUACCAUGUGAACCCUCGCAGCAUUGUCUCAAAGCAAUAAGGCCUGUGUGUCAUUCCUACAGAACCGGUUAUUUGUGUGGUUACGUGUAGAUGAGAUGUUUUGUUCCAGGGCUUUUUUUUGUAUGGGUGGAUCUAUAGCCAUAAUGAGAGAAUGAUUUUCUUCAAGUGAACCGACAAUUACUGUACACAAAGUGACAAAACAGAGUGAAGGAAUUCCAGCACGGAUUGCAGAUCAAAUGGUUAUUGCUGUUUCACCUUGAACUUCACCUUUUCUGGGCCUUGGGAAGUGGAUAUGGAUGUAAACUCAAGAACAUUUCUGAAUUCAAGAAAAAUUCAGAAAUACAGCAGCAGAGGGCGUCAGAACACCUUACAGACAACACCAAGUGUAAUUACUGAAGUGUGGGGAAAUGUUUGUAUGGUGUGAGAACUUUGUAUAAGCAAACUGAAAUACAGGGAUGUUAAACAAUAAAGUGACCAGAAUACGUGGAUGAUCCCAUAAUUACAGUGUAAUUGGACCUAUGUAACAUCUAAAAUGUUGCUUAAAAUGACAAAAGUUACAUAAAAAUCAUGAAAACCA